rnacentral:rRNA from 1 species
GACGAACGCUGGCGGCGCGCUUAACACAUGCAAGUCGAGCGAAGCGGCGGACGGGUGAGUAACACGUGAGUAACCUGCCUUAGACAUUGGGAUAGCCUCGGGAAACCGGGAUUAAUACCAAAUGGUCUAAGAUGGACUCGCGUCCCAUUAGCUAGUUGGUGGGUAACGGCCCACCAAGGCGACGAUGGGUAGCCGGCCGGGGAGGGGUAACGGGCACAUUGGGACUGGGAAACGGUCCCAAAUCUACGGGAGGCAGCAGUGGGGGAUAAUGCAAAAUGGAGGGAAAUCUUAUGCAGCGACGCCGCGUGAACGAAGAAGGCUUUCGAGUCGUAAAGUUCUUUUAUAUGGGAAGCGGUACCAUAAGAAAAAGCCCCGGCUAACUACGUGCCAGCAGCCGCGGUAAUUC